GAGUACAUCAAUCUAGUACGAGGUCACGGGUUUGACUGCUGUUCCAGUGCACUUUCACGCGUAGAAGGUUGGAAAAACACGGGUUACGUGUUCCCUGGAACGCGGCAUUAGGCUUGCUGCGACUGUGUUACGGUGUUCAGCCGCAACACCAGUUAUAUCACUUGCCCCACCGUGACCGCGGCACCGGCCCCACCGUCGUUUUGAUUUUUUAUAGUAAUAAAAAUAAUUUAGUUUAGUUAGAGGACAGAUACAGUUAAAAACUGAACGCGUCUGCUUAAUUCAGUGAGGGCUGAACGAGAGUUGCAGCAGGAGUCAGAUUUUACCUCACUUCGGCCAUUUCGCCUCACUUCUCUGAAUGACGAUGGAUGAAGAUUUGGUUGCAAAGCGAAAUGUAAAAGCAUAUUUAAGCGAGUUUGUCAUUGUACUCUUUUGUUGUUGUUGUUGUUGUUGUUGUUGUGUUUUUCAUUAAGAUAAUAACGCACCCACCAUUCAAGCAACUGCAACCUCCGAAUUGCCGCUACUUUAAGUGAAAGUAAAAUGUUUUUAUUGAUUUUUGGUGGCAUUUUUGCCCUCAAGCCCCUGUUAAUUUCCGACCUUGCUUAUGAUAAUCCAAAUGUAUUUCCAGUUAAUUUGGCUGAAACAUCAGCAGCAUGAGACGGUCUCGUUUCACCUUGUAAACAAUCUUUGGAGUGUAGUCCAUCGCGCACGUCUUUUGCACUUGCUCUGUUGACUGAAGCAGUUUCUUUGAAUGAAAGCAUGAAAAGCAGCCCAUUGCCGUGCGAAACAUAACUCUUGUUCAGUGUAGAUGAAUUUUAGGAGGUGUACUUUUUGUUCCGAUUGUAUUAUAGUUCUAUUCAUGAGAAUCGAUCGGGUCACUCGCACCAGUGCGCCUAAAUAUUUUUUAACACUCGCGCGCAGUUAUUUUCAGGCGCAAAUGCGAGCGAAAUACUCGCACUGUAGAGCCCUGCUUUAAGGAACUAAUAUGCACCAUUUAGGGCUAAGCUUUUGCAUGCACUGAGGGUAUGAAAAAGCUACUCAAAUGACCAGACUGGAUAUUUAUUUUUUUAUUUAUUUACAGUCAAUAGUGUAUUAUUGGUUCUUGUAAAGUUAUCUUAAUAGGUGCCAAUCUCAAGUGAUUUGUUUUUAGCAAUGGCCUUAAAAAGAAAAAAAAGUUUGAUACAAUUUUGAAAUCAUUUAUAGUACACUGUCAGUGCCCAAGCUUUAGUAGUAAUUCAUUUUAAUUCAAGGUAAGUAUUGUUUUGUAUUUGAAAAAUCCCAUCUUCCUGUUAUAGGUUUGAUGUCUAUUUGAACAUAAUGGUGCUGUAUUUGGAAGUUCCUGUAGAUGUUAUCACCAACAUAACCUUCUCUUAAUAGGCUUUUGUUUCCCGUAGCAUGUGGAUGGCACAUGUAUUCACACUUACAGUCAAGGAUGUUAAAAUAAAAAAAAAACUGAAAGUGUCACUUUGAAGUAGAGGGGUGUGGCAUAUAGUUGAACACAAUAUUGGCAGCCAGAAUACAUUCUCCAGACAAUAACUGUGUAUUCUGGUAAUCUCUUUGAUGUGUGUCGGAAUGAGCAGUCAACUCACUGUUCCUGCCCUCACUUACAGGAACCACUGGAAUUUUUAUAUACAUCUAAAUUUUAUGCUAGUAAAUCAGUCAUAAUUAUAAAUAAUAAAGAUAUAAUUAUAAAGAAGCUGAAGAGUAACUUGUGGUUUAAAGUAACUUGUGGUGGAAAUAAGGGCUCAGACAUAUAACGAUAUAAGAAAUGAUAAUAUCUCUAUCACCAAGAUAACUAUCAUUAACUUCAAGGUCAAUAUACUGUACAUUUCAAAAUAGUUACAAAUGAGAAGUACUGUUGUUUCUCAUUUUAUUAAUUGAGUUUUUGUUUUAUGGGCUUGAUGAGUGAACUUCAAUUCAAGUGAGGCAUUGAUUUUGUGAUUAGGAUGGUCCACUAAACAAUUAAGCUUGUUUGGCGGUGUGGGGGCGGGGACAGUGUUCAUGCCAGUAUAAACAAGGGCUAAAACAUGUUACUGCAGUGUGGCUGUGUGGCAUUGUGGUGGCUGCAAUAAUGGGAAUCAGGCAAUGUGUACUUGGGCUUUUAGUGCUGGUUGCAUUUGAUCAUGUGUAUGGUGCCAGACCAAAAGCUAGGGCGUUUCGACCCCGGGUGCUGAUGCAAAAACCUCAAAGUGUUGAUUCUCAACUUAGUGAGCAGUGGAAACCAAUCCAAGCCCCUUACGGAGUUCAAUCUCAGAGGCCCCAACUGGCCCCAAAUGUAGCACCUUCAAGUAUUCAGUCUAAACAAGAAUUGCAGGGCCCAGUCAGGGAGCUGACCUGGAAAUUCCCAGUGGCUCCAGAAGAGCCAGCGCAGCCAGACUUUAAUUUUGAGUUGCAGCAGCCUAAACCUGCCAACAGCAUAGCAGUCCAGUGUUGGGAAGAUGCGGUGCAUGUGGAAGUGAAGCAGGACUUGUUUGGUACUGGCCAGCUCCUUGAGCCCUCUCUUCUGUCUCUAGGGGGCUGUGGUGUUGUGGACAUAGAUGCAGCUGCCGGAGUCCUCGUUUUUCAUUCACCGCUUCAGGAGUGUGGUGGCGAGCUUGUGGUGACUGAGGAUGAGCUUGUAUACAUCUUUACUCUUGAUUAUAAACCAGCAGCAUUACAGAGCACUCCAAUUGUAAGGUCCAGUGGAGUUACAGUUGGCAUUGAAUGCCACUACCCCAGGAAACAGAAUGUGAGCAGUAGUGACUUGCAGCCAAGUUGGAUCCCAUACAUGUCCACCAAGGUUGCAGAGGACAUUCUUGUUUUCUCCUUGAAGCUCAUGACUGGCAUCUGUGAAGCAGUACAACCAUGUUCCCCUUCGUAUAUUUGUGGACAACUGUGUGGCCACUGCAGGCACUGAUGUGAACUCUGCUCCUAUGUAUUCUUUUAUUGAAAAUCAUGGUUGCCUCACUGAUGCAAAGUAUACAGGCUCCAGCUCCAACUUCCUACCCCGGGUGCAAGAUGACAAACUACAAUUUCAGUUGGAGGCCUUCAGAUUCCAGCAGGAAAGCAGUGGUGCUAUUUACAUCACCUGUCUUCUAAGAGCAAGUGCUGCUUCGUCCCAGAUUGAUGAGGAUCAUAAGGCUUGUUCAUUUGGAACAAAUGG